UAAAAAAAGACUUGGAAAACUACAAAGUAUUGUUGAAAGAAAUUAAAGACCUAAAUAAAUGGAAAGACAUCUCAUGUUCACGGAAUGGAAGACUUAAAAUUGUUACAAUGGCAAUACUCUCCAGAUUGACAGAUUUCACAUAAUCCCUUAUCAAAAUCCCAGCUGUCUUUUUUGCAGAAAUUAAUAAACUGAUCCCAGAAUGGUCAAAACAAUCUUCAACAGAACAACAACAAAGUUGGAGAACUCAUACUUCUCAAUCUCAGAACAAUAAAAAACUAGAGUAACAAAGACAGUAAUUAGAACAAUGAAAUAGAAUUGAAAGUGUAGAAAUAAACUCACACAGCUAUGGUCAACUGAUUUUUGACAAGGAUGCCAAGAUCAUCUAAUG